CCUACGGGAGGCAGCAGUGGGGAAUUUUCCGCAAUGGGCGAAAGCCUGACGGAGCAACGCCGCGUGAGGGAUGAAGGCCUCUGGGCUGUAAACCUCUUUUAUCAAGGAAGAAGAUCUGACGGUACUUGAUGAAUAAGCCACGGCUAAUUCCGUGCCAGCAGCCGCGGUAAUACGGGAGUGGCAAGCGUUAUCCGGAAUUAUUGGGCGUAAAGCGUCCGCAGGCGGUCUUGUAAGUCUGUCGUUAAAGCGUGGAGCUCAACUCCAUUUCGGCGGUGGAAACUACAAGACUAGAGUGUGGUAGGGGCAGAGGGAAUUCCCGGUGUAGCGGUGAAAUGCGUAGAUAUCGGGAAGAACACCAGUGGCGAAGGCGCUCUGCUGGGCCAUAACUGACGCUCAUGGACGAAAGCUAGGGGAGCGAAAGGGAUUAGAUACCCCUGUAGUCCUAGCCGUAAACGAUAGACACUAGUAGUCGGGUACGUACGACCCGUCCGUCGUCGUAGACUACGUACGUAGUAGUUCGUCCGUCGGGUAGGUACGCGACGCGAGUAGUGAACGUAACAAUAGUAGUAGUACGGCGNGAGACGCGACGACGACGACGACGAGGAGGUAG
rnacentral:rRNA from 1 species